CUCAACCACACACAAACCUCUGUUUCUCAAAAAAACACUCAUCACUUACACAUACCAUAGCCAUGACAACUCUGAGCUUCAACCCUGCAAGAAUCAGAACCCCAACAUUCAAACACUCCAAACUCUCCUCUUCAUCUAAACCCAUCACAAUUUCAUGCACCAUUUCCUCCAACAACCUACGAAACCACCCAAAACUGCUUCGCUUUCGAACCAAUUCGGUGUCUGAAAGCUCGUUGUCGAUCCAGAAAGAAGCACCUGAAGAGGUUGUCGAAGACGAAGAAGACGACCCAACUGCCGAACUAUGCUAUGUUGACCCAGCAAUCGACCCUGAAAGCAUCACAGAGUGGGAACUUGACUUCUGUUCAAGACCCAUUCUCGAUGACAGAGGGAAGAAGAUUUGGGAACUUGUUGUCUGUGACAAAACGCUGUCGUUGCAGUAUACUAAGUAUUUUCCAAAUAAUGUCAUUAAUAGCAUUACUCUGAAGGAAGCUAUUGCUGGUAUUAGUAAUGACUUGGGUGUCCCAUUGCCUCAAAACAUUCGCUUCUUUAGGUCACAGAUGAAGACAAUUAUUACAAAAGCUUGUAAUGAGCUUCGCAUAGCGCCUGUUCCUAGUAAACGGUGCGUGACAUUAAUUCUGUGGCUAGGGGAGCGCUAUGAGACCGUUUAUCGGAAGCAUCCUGGAUUUCAAGAAGGAUCCAAACCUCUUUUGGCAGUAGAUAAUCCUUUUCCAACAGAACUUCCAGAUGAUCUUUAUGGAGAAAAGUGGGCAUUUGUCCAAUUACCUUACUCAGCUGUUCGAGAGGAGGUGUCAUCCUUCAAGGCAGGAUUUCGUGGUGCUGGGUUAGAUCUUGAUUUAUUGGGUCUUGAAAUUGAUGACAAGACAUUGAUCCCAGGAUUGGCUGUUGCUUCUUCUCGUGCUACGGAAUUGGCAGCUUUGAUAAAUGAAGUGGAGGCUUGUGCUGUGGAAGCAGAUGCUGCUCGUGGUCGAUUGAUUCUUUCUGUUGGAAUUUCUACUCGGUAUGUAUAUUCCACCUAUAAGAAAACACCUGUGACAACAAGUGAAAGUGAAGGAUGGGAAGCAGCUAAGGAAGCUUGUGGAGGUAGUAGUUUGGAGCUACAUCUAGUGCAGACCUUACGCAAGAUUUGGGCCGAGGAAGGUAGUAGUAUUCUUUUGGCGUCUAUUGCUUAAUGUAGCUCCGGUGCAGAAAAACUUGACCAAUCGUAGAUUGAUCAUUCCCUCAGAAGCUUGUAAUCAAGACAGUCAGCACCGGACUCAGUGAAAGGACGGAUGGACUGUUAUAGGCUUAGAUUUUAUUUUUAAAUUGUUGUAAUUAAACUAGUCCUGUAGCAGUUAUUUGAUAUUAAUUUGUAACCCUUCACUUAUUUCAAAAUCUUUUAUGAAAAAUUUAGUUAUCCGAUUU